rnacentral:rRNA from 1 species
UGGGGGGGGGUGCCUAUACAUGCAGUAGAACGCUGAAGAGAGGAGCUUGCUCUUCUUGGAUGAGUUGCGAACGGGUGAGUAACGCGUAGGUAACCUGCCUUGUAGCGGGGGAUAACUAUUGGAAACGAUAGCUAAUACCGCAUAACAAUGGAUGACACAUGUCAUUUAUUUGAAAGGGGCAAUUGCUCCACUACAAGAUGGACCUGCGUUGUAUUAGCUAGUAGGUGAGGUAACGGCUCACCUAGGCGACGAUACAUAGCCGACCUGAGAGGGUGAUCGGCCACACUGGGACUGAGACACGGCCCAGACUCCUACGGGAGGCAGCAGUAGGGAAUCUUCGGCAAUGGGGGCAACCCUGACCGAGCAACGCCGCGUGAGUGAAGAAGGUUUUCGGAUCGUAAAGCUCUGUUGUAAGUCAAGAACGAGUGUGAGAGUGGAAAGUUCACACUGUGACGGUAGCUUACCAGAAAGGGACGGCUAACUACGUGCCAGCAGCCGCGGUAAUACGUAGGUCCCGAGCGUUGUCCGGAUUUAUUGGGCGUAAAGCGAGCGCAGGCGGUUUGAUAAGUCUGAAGUUAAAGGCUGUGGCUCAACCAUAGUUCGCUUUGGAAACUGUCAAACUUGAGUGCAGAAGGGGAGAGUGGAAUUCCAUGUGUAGCGGUGAAAUGCGUAGAUAUAUGGAGGAACACCGGUGGCGAAAGCGGCUCUCUGGUCUGUAACUGACGCUGAGGCUCGAAAGCGUGGGGAGCGAACAGGAUUAGAUACCCUGGUAGUCCACGCCGUAAACGAUGAGUGCUAGGUGUUGGAUCCUUUCCGGGAUUCAGUGCCGCAGCUAACGCAUUAAGCACUCCGCCUGGGGAGUACGACCGCAAGGUUGAAACUCAAAGGAAUUGACGGGGGCCCGCACAAGCGGUGGAGCAUGUGGUUUAAUUCGAAGCAACGCGAAGAACCUUACCAGGUCUUGACAUCCCGAUGCUAUUUCUAGAGAUAGAAAGUUACUUCGGUACAUCGGUGACAGGUGGUGCAUGGUUGUCGUCAGCUCGUGUCGUGAGAUGUUGGGUUAAGUCCCGCAACGAGCGCAACCCCUAUUGUUAGUUGCCAUCAUUCAGUUGGGCACUCUAGCGAGACUGCCGGUAAUAAACCGGAGGAAGGUGGGGAUGACGUCAAAUCAUCAUGCCCCUUAUGACCUGGGCUACACACGUGCUACAAUGGUUGGUACAACGAGUUGCGAGUCGGUGACGGCAAGCUAAUCUCUUAAAGCCAAUCUCAGUUCGGAUUGUAGGCUGCAACUCGCCUACAUGAAGUCGGAAUCGCUAGUAAUCGCGGAUCAGCACGCCGCGGUGAAUACGUUCCCGGGCCUUGUACACACCGCCCGUCACACCACGAGAGUUUGUAACACCCGAAGUCGGUGAGGUAACCUUUUGGAGCCAGCCGCCUAAGGGGGAAAAGAAGGG